rnacentral:rRNA from 1 species
GUAGCGAAAUAAUUUGUUUUUUGAUUGGAUGCCUGUAUGAAGGGUCCAACAAUAAUAUAUAUAUAUAUAAAUAUUAAUAUUUUAAUUUAUAGUUUAAGUAAAAAUACUUAUAUAAUUUAAAGGGACGAUAAGACCCUAAAAGUUUUAUAAUUAGUGAUAUAAGUAUUGUAUUGUUUUAAUACCGAUUUUAUAAUCAAUUAUUUUACUGGGGUAGUAGUUUUAACAAUUAAUAUAAACAUUGUACUUUUGGCACUAUGAUUUUUUUAUAAAAAUAAAUAGUUUAAAUUACUUUAGGGUUAACAGCGUGAUAAUUAUAUCAAGAACAUAUUAAAAUGUUUGAUUGCGACCUCGAUGUUGAAUUAAAUUACCUCCAUUGAAGUAAAAAUUGUGAAUAGGAAGUUUGUUCAACUUUUAAUAAUUU